rnacentral:rRNA from 1 species
GUCUAUGGCCAUGAUACCCUGAACAAGCUCAAUCCCGUCUGGACUCGGAAGCUAAGCGGGGUCGGGCUUGGUUAGUACUUGGAUGGGAGACCACCUAGGAAGACCAGGUGCUGUAGGCA